CUGACUUGUAUGAAGUUAGCGAUAACAUUUUAUCAAUUUGUGAUAACAAUUAUUCGGUUCGGAGGAAAAUAAUCGUUAUCAUAUGUUGCUAACUUCAUACAUAUAAAUACCAAACAGGAAUCGCAAAUUAUUAAUGAAACAAAAUCAUUUUUUCAAUUAUCAAAUUUAAAUAUUCCUUGCUUUCCAUAAUACAAUAUUAUCGUGUGAACUGUGAAGUGUUUGGUCGGUAAAAAUGAGGAUUACAAUUUAUACACAAUGAGAUUAUAAGCAAUUUGUCACAUCUAACUUGCCAGCAGAAUUUUCACACAAUACCAACAAAUCGCUGUAUCCUCAGCUGGAACUCUCUUGUUUGCUGUCAACGAAUUUGGUGAAGCAGAUAUGUUCAGACUAAUUAGCAAUAUACUUAUCAACAAGUAUCGUUUCAACUGCAAAGAACUUCACAUAAAAUACAGUCCCAAUGGAUAACACAUAGCCGCUUGUUAUCUUUUUCCUACUGCAAAUACCGGGUCGCUUCAACGGCCAGUCAGAUAAGUUUGCAAUGGAACUCGUCUUCAGCGACAUAUUCCACAACACAACAGUUCCUGCCUAACCUUAUUUGUGGUGUGCAGUAAAGACGCCACAAUCAGGUUGUACAAAAUAGAAAAUUACCAUAAUUUUCAUUCUUAUUCACCGACGAGACAUACAGACUGAAUUGUGAUCGUAGCUUUUAAAAAAACAUUAUCUAGACCUAAUAAUGAUAUUGAGCAGAGUACCCAUUGUUUUUCGCCAGGACAACAAAAAAGUAGUGGCCAUGCUGGUUGGCCAAUUAUUGUCUUUUACGUUUGUGUGUCGACUCGAGUGGGAAGUGCUGAAAGUAGAAACAACUUAAGAGACCGGCCAAAACAAUACUGAUUUCAUAACAGCGAAAUAAAAUCUAGCAAACUUUCAUUUCUGUUUGUUGUUCGGACGAUGGACAAUUUACUAUAGCCAAGGGCACCCAGUCAAUAAAUUGUUGUAUCUACAAUGUCGUCAAAGCGGUUACUCGUUAUAAAGUUUAUCAUUACGCAGAACCAGUAGUUCGAUUCUGUACUUAGCGUUAUUAAUCGGCCUAAGAUGAUAGUUUUUGGAAGCAAAGAUUUUAAGUCAGACAGAGAGAAUUGAAAGAAGGCGGAAACAUAAACUCCCACAAUUGUGGUUAAGCAGCAGCGAGGACUGUACCCUCAAAAGACCAUAUGAUUUUAACCAAUACUCGAGCAUGGUAGUUAAAAGAAUUGCUAGUAUACAAAACAUUGAAGCGAAAGACAAAGUAGAUGCGAUGGUCGUGGAUGAUGUCGUCGUGACUGAAUGAAUAUUCAGACUGACUAAAUGGACAGUUUAUAAUUUUUUUUUUUUUAAAGACUAAAACAAUGUAAAUGAUGAAGUUAUUAUUACGUUAUAGUUUUAAAACUUAACGGUUUCCAUGUUUUUUUAAAUUUAUAUUAAUUUAUUAUUUUCUUCCGUUAGGCUUAUCCGACCCCGGCCGUAAUAGAUAGAAAACAGAUAUUCUUUUUUUUUUAAAUAACUAAUAAGUAGAUUCAUUCUAUUUGGGUAAUCUUGAAAAAUUAAACAAAUUUCUACACGACAAAAUAGUAUAUUUGAAUCGAUGACUGUUUGUAUGAAAUUAAAUUUUUAGUAAAAAGUUCUAGUAAUGUGGUUCUAUCCCUUGACUGUAUAAAUGACUCGAAUGGGUACUAAUUUUACCAAUAAAAUUGCCAUCAUCAUUCUUAAAAUAAACUCUAAUUCAAAUCUAUUUUUGUUUAUAAAAAUUGUUAUUAUUUUUCUGUACUUAAUAAGCGUGUGUGCGUAGUCACUUUGAGACAUAUGAUAAUUAGGAUUCAGGUGUCCUAUGUUACCUUAAAAGUAAACUCUAGAGUAUAGUGUCUAUUAAAGAUAUUAUUA